UUGUGGCAGUCAGGAUCUCUUUGAUGGAGUGGACCUGUACAUUAUUUUCCGGCUGGCAAUUGCACGUGAUCCUUGUGUGACCACUUCUUUGAUGGUGUGGACUUUACAUGUUUAAUCUUGGAAAUCAUUCUACAAGUGACUGAGUG